UACGGGGGGAGCAAGCGUUGUUCGGAUUUACUGGGCGUAAAGGGCGCGUAGGCGGCGCAACAAGUCACUUGUGAAAUCUCCGGGCUUAACCCGGAGCGGUCAAGUGAUACUGUCGUGCUAGAGUGCGGAAGGGGCUACUGGAAUUCUCGGUGUAGCGGUGAAAUGCGUAGAUAUCGAGAGGAACACCUGCGGCGAAGGCGGGUAGCUGGGCCGACACUGACGCUGAUGCGCGAAAGCCAGGGGAGCAAACGGGAUU
rnacentral:rRNA from 1 species